CGCCCUGGGGAGCUGUGCGCUGCCUUCCUCGUCACACGCUUGUGAGUGACUGCAUGACACUUUCCACCUCCGUGUGUUUCGUCUCCUGUGGCUGCUGGAACAUAUGACCACAGACUUGGUGUCUCUGUCUUCAUAGCUCCAGAGGCCAGAAGUCAGAGCAAACAGGUGGGUCGGUCCCCGCUGGAGACUCGCGGGAGAGUGUUCAGCUUCCCUCCCCAAGAUUUGACUUCCAUCUAAGUCAAAAGGCGGCCAGGCAGAAAGGUGGGAGCUCCGGGAUCAGCGACAUUCCUGGCACCCAGAGCCCCUGAGGGGCAGAGCAGCGGUGGGGUCACCCAGCAGGCCCCUAUGUGUCCCCAGACAAGGUGGCUCAGACUUGACCUGUGUGACCGGAAGCCUCCCACAUGGUCUGCAGGGCCCAUGCUCCCUGCCCAGUGGGCCAGGGACGGCUGGGCCUGGGGCACCGGGUGAACCCUGGUCUCCAGGGCAAGUAGAUGCUUCGUGCUCUUGGCCUCUCAGCCUCAGCCACAUAGGUGCCCGGGAGCAUAAAGCAGGUGGCCAACCCUUGGGCCCCCAGGACAUUGUGGGGUUGGGACAUCAGGGGGACCCACAAACACAGCCUUUUUCAAAAGUUCUCCAGUUCUUUCAUUGGCAGCCAGGACCGAGAAUCCUGGCCUAGAGCAAAGGUGGGCUCAGGCUAGAAGGGCAGAGGCGGCUGGAAAGGUGGUGCCCGGCCCUGGGCGGGGCUCCUGCGUGGAAGAGGAGAGCAUCCCAGCUGGCAGGCGGCUGCAGGUACACGGCCUGGAAUGUGCGAUUUCCCUCCUCCACGAGGGAAGAGAACUCGUGACGGUUGAUCUGAUGUGUCGUCUUGGCUGGGCUGGUGGGGGCCCGGGGGGCUGGCGGAACCUUCUGUCUGCGUGUGUCUGGGAGGUGUUUCCAGCAGAGAUGAGCAUUUGAUCUGGUGAACUGAGUAAAGCCGAUUUCCGUCCCCAGUGUGGGGGGCAUUAUCCAAGGCAUGGCGGGCCCCAGUGGGGCAAAAGGGAAGGGUGAAUUCGCUCUCUGUUUUGGGCUGAGACGCCCACCUACCUGUGCCCGCAGACAUGGGACUCCUAGUUUGAGCCUUCAGACUCAGAUCAGGAUGGGACCCCGUCAGCCGCCGGAUUCGAUCCUCAGGCUGCAGGUUAUACUGAACUCCACCCCAGCUCCCCUGAGUCUGUGCUAGCGGGGGAAGUUGGGGGUGCCAAUCCUGGGACCUGUCCGCCCCCCCUGACACAGCCAAUUUCCAUAACAAACUUCCUCUUGUAUCUCUCCAUGGGGUUCUCCAGAGAGGCAGAACCCGCGGGGCCUGACACAGAAGUGCUGGGAUUUCCUGACCAGGCACAGACCGUUGUCACGGUUCAAAGAGGACAGGGCGUAAGGCAGGCGCCUGCUCUCUCAGUCACGGCCUUCCUUCUUCCUGUCGACUGGGACACGGUGAAGAUUUCUCUUCAUGCCGUUGGCAUCGCGGACGCCAUCUCUGCCCGGUAGGGGUGAUACCUCACGGAGGAGGGAGCCCCCCGGCCCUGACACCUAGUGCAGGUGGUGUCUCCUAAACCAGCCACGCUCCAGGCAUCCACACGCCCUGCGCCCAAGGGGUUUACCGUCUCGUGUAAAUGUAGAUGAGUUUUAUUUGGGGUCCUGAGGAAGGAGACUUGGCCUUGUUCACAAGGAAUUGUAAUACAAGACGCACCUCGGUGAGACUCGCACCGAGAGAUUCAGUCACUCCCACCAAGAGUGUGCACUGCAGUGCAGGUCCGCAGCGUGCCGGGUCUUGUUCUGGAACACUUCCUGGAGAAGGAGGAAUUUGAUGUGAACCUUAAAAGAGGACCUUAAGAGGCCUGUUGGAAACAGAUAUAAAGUAGGACGUAAAAGCUCCAGGAGCAAUUUGGUGAAGAAAACGUGUUACUUAGGAUAUAGGAUUUGAAACUGCUUUGACCAGAAGUGACAUAAUUCGUCCAGAGUUAAUGUCUUGAAGGACUGGGGGGAAGUUGUUACUUCAGCUGAGAUUAGUUUUUGUUUCACCACAGCCAGCCCAGUAGACGCGUCAGUUCAGUUCUGCUCAAAUGUCAGUGUGUAUGGUUCAUAUUUCGGACACCGAGCAUUUACCAAAUACCUCAAACCCUUGCAAAAUAUCCCUCUGAGCCAGUUAACCGUCAGGGAACGCAGCAUCGGAGCCGCGGUCUGCACCGAAGGUCAGCGGGGAGCCCGCCCCACUCACAGUUCUUACCCCCUUUGCGUGGGAGGCGUGCGCAGCUUCUCCGUCACGAAGCAAACCAGCUCCCCUUCCCCAAGAUUAGGCCCAAUAAUGUGCCUAAAAAAAGAAGAUACCAAGAACGUUCAUCCCUGUCAAGUUAUGUUUCGACGUUUAGGUGAAGUGACAACAACUGAAGCAACCGAGCCACACGUCAAACGGAACGAAACUAGAAUCUCAGGCUCGGCGAAACUGACUCAAAAGCUGCUAAGAGCAUCUCAUCUGACACGGCUCUCACCCUUAAAGUAUCCUCUUAAAAAGUUUUUGGGAAAUACCAGCAAGUUGACUAUUUGCAGAACUAGCCUCGGCCAGUGGAGUUUCAGAGAAGUGGCUUACGGAGAACCAGUUGCCCCGACCUGAACUUCUGGCUCCCUCUCCACUGCCCUCGGGGUCUAGACUGGGGGUGACUGGGCCCCGCCCUCCGAGGUUGUCCAGACCGUCUGGAGCCAGCGUGAAGCCAUUUCUCUGUGGCUCCUGCAGGGUCAGCGCAAGGAGACCGUCCGCCCUUGGUCCCCACCUGCCCUCCCACCAGGCCCCCUCCCAGGGUGACUUCCUCGGGGGGCAAGGCUGCCCAGGGGUCUCCCUGGAGAACAGCCGUGCAGGUGGGGGAGGCCCUCGGAGCCCCGAAGUCCAGCCCAGGUCCUCCUCUCAUCCGAGACCCAGAGUGAGUCACUUCCUCUCCCAGACAACACAGCUCCCCGUCCUGUUCCCGGGACAACAGAUAAAGAAGUUUCUGCUGGUUUCUUCUUGCCUUGGGGCAACAGCUCAGCAGGGUUAAGCCUCAAAGGUCUCCUCGCAAACCUGUGGCAGACCCCCCAUCUCCCUGGGCUGCUGGUGGCGUCUCUCCUUCCUUCUGUAAGUUCUAACCUUCCAUGAACUGCAUGCAGUAGAAGACGUCACACUGCCAAAACCACGGAGGAUAGAAUAGUGUGCGUGUAGCCACCAGCCGGCCUGGAAAACAGCACAGUGCGGCACCAGAUGGGGGCCCCCUGCGCCGGCCGGCCCCCUGCCCCAGAGGGAGCGGUGGUCUUGAACAUGGAGUUCACUGUUCUCAGAGCCUGGAGACCUUCAUCCGGGACCAGCGUGGCCCUUAGGAAUCUGCAAUUUAGAAACUCAGACUGUGUGACCUGUGUCCCUAAGAGGAUGGGGACUUUCUGGAGGGGGCCACCCCCAUCCCGGGCACAGCCACCCUGCCCCCCUCAGGCCACACACCAGAUGGGCAGCAGCUUCUGUCCCCCACCUCCUCAUCUCCAUGUCUUACCUCCACCAGGUGCCCCACCUGCCUCCCCAACCCACCCCUCCUGCCCGCCCUCAGGGUCCGGGAACUUCUGUUUUCUGUCUCCCAGUCCUCAAACCCAGGACCUCCCCUCACCGUGUCCAGCCUCAGGGGACUGCAGCCAGACCCUGAGGAUGGGGCUGGGAUGACCGGGGCAGCCGUGUGGGGUCCCAGGACACUGAGUGACUCACUGAGUGUGUCACCAAGUAGAAAAACUUCAUCGAUGCCGCAGCAAUGCCUCCAUGCCCCGCCUCCCCUUGCACAGGGACGAACCAGGCAGCUCUGUCACCCUCCAGCCACGUGCCGGAACAAGGGAGCGGUGCAGGGCCAGGCAUUGCUAUUUUGCAAUAACCCCCCAGGCGAGCUGGGUCUGCCUCUCCCCACCCUGAGCUGAGAACCAUCGCCUCGGCACAAGCUGGGAUACAGUUCAGGAAACACCCAGCGAUAUCGCAAACCCAAGCGGAUAUCAGGGUGGGCGGGGGUGGUUGGCGCACCCUCGUCUCCCAUCCCCACCUCCCCGACUCUCCCCAGCUCCUCCGCGGGGUGCACACGCAGCCUGGAAGCCGCUUCAGAGCACCCCCGACGGUGGGGCCCUGAGGGGUCGCAGCCGAGAGGGUCUGGGCAGCAGGGGGUCCGGGUCCUGGGGGCCCCUUCCUCCCUGAGCCAUGUCCCCUGCAUGUGCGACCCCCUCCCCUUCACCCGUCCCAGCACCUCUGGUCCCUCGGUUUCCUGACUGUCCUGCCUUCAGGUGAUGCGGACCUGAGCCUCCGGUGCCCCCACCUUUGCUCAGCGUGUUGCCCCGUGAGACCCCGUGUCUCAGGUGCGAGGCAUGCUCGUGUGCACAGCACACACACCCCCACACCCCCCUUCUUCCAACUUGAGUCUGAAGAACAGCUGGCGACGUGAAAGGACAAUAGACUGUGUGU